rnacentral:rRNA from 1 species
UACGGGGGGGGCAAGCGUUGUUCGGAAUUACUGGGCGUAAAGGGCUCGUAGGUGGCCAACUAAGUCAGACGUGAAAUCCCUCGGCUUAACCGGGGAACUGCGUCUGAUACUGGAUGGCUUGAAUCCGGGAGAGGGAUGCGGAAUUCCAGGUGUAGCGGUGAAAUGCGUAGAUAUCUGGAGGAACACCGGUGGCGAAGGCGGCAUCCUGGACCGGUAUUGACGCUGAGGCGCGAAAGCCAGGGGAGCAAACGGGG